AUGGCAACCACUUCCAACAGAUUUUCCUUGAUCAUGGGAUCAUUUAUUUCUCCUGUUCCUGUUCACUCUGAUGAUGAGGAUCCUCCAGUUGUCAGGUUUAGUGGCAUUAGGCCAAAUAAGGAGAAGGCACACCAGCAGCAAGAAGAGCAGACACAACAACAGCAAGAGGAGCAGGCUCAGCAUGAUCAAGUUGAACAGGAGCUGCAUCAGCAUGAUCAAGAGCAUGAGCAUGAUCAAGAGCAUGAGCAAGAUGCCGAGUCAGAAAGUGUAGCAGAUUCAGAAGAAGAUCAUUUCAUACCAAGUCCACCCCAGCCUGGAACUACUUACCUUUCAUCUCAGUUUGGGUUUAGGGCCAGGAAAUCCUCUAGGUUUUUGAACAUGGAUGCAGCAGACACAGUUGGUUGUUCAGUAAUGCAUGAUUCAGAUGAAGAUUACAUUCCAUAA
rnacentral:rRNA from 1 species